rnacentral:rRNA from 1 species
UACGAAGGGGGCUAGCGUUGCUCGGAAUUACUGGGCGUAAAGGGAGCGUAGGCGGACAGUUUAGUCAGAGGUGAAAGCCCAGGGCUCAACCUUGGAAUUGCCUUUGAUACUGGCUGUCUUGAGUACGGGAGAGGUGUGUGGAACUCCUAGUGUAGAGGUGAAAUUCGUAGAUAUUCGGAAGAACACCAGUGGCGAAGGCGACACACUGGCCCGUUACUGACGCUGAGGCUCGAAAGCGUGGGGAGCAAACAGG